AGUGGUUACCAGGAAGCUGCAGCUUAUGAAGCAGCUAUAGAGGAGUCAAGAUAUGUAUUUGACAUAGGACUUGCUAUGGGGUUCGAUAUGACACUGCUGAACAUAGGUGGAAGUUAUCCCGGACGAAACGUCCAAAAUGAUAAAAACACAUUUAAAGAGAUGACGAAUUACAUGGUUACACAGAUACACCGUAUAAACAAAUUAGAAUGUAUUAUGUCAAUGAUGGAAUUUAUGGAUGCUUUUUCGACUGUCUUCUCUACCCUGUCUGGUUCGUUCCAUCACAUUUUAAGGGAGGAAAUAUAUCCACUAGAGCAAAGUCGUCUCAUCAAGACAACACAAGGGGAAUGAUGAGCACAUUGAGUGAUGUCAAAAAAUAAAACAUUCACAACUGGUAAUAACUGAUCUUAAUCUUGCGAAAUGAGGUCAGACGUGCAAUUAUAUAUACGAAAAACUAUCAAUAUUUUUAGUUCUGGUAUUUUACUAGACAAAAUGUAACCAAUUGAUAAUAUUGUUUUAAAUGUAUACAAUAAAUCGUACAACACUUACACAGAAUCAAAAG